UACGUAGGGUGCAAGCGUUAAUCGGAAUUACUGGGCGUAAAGCGUGCGCAGGCGGUUCGUUGUGUCGGUGGUGAAAGCCCCGGGCUUAACCUGGGAAUGGCCAUGGAAACUGGCGAACUGGAGUGUGGCAGAGGGGGGUGGAAUUCCGCGUGUAGCAGUGAAAUGCGUAGAGAUGCGGAGGAACACCGAUGGCGAAGGCAGCCCCCUGGGCUAGCACUGACGCUCAGGCACGAAAGCGUGGGGAG
rnacentral:rRNA from 1 species